GUGAGUAUGCAGCAAUGAACAUUUCUCUCCUU
rnacentral:scRNA from 1 species